rnacentral:lncRNA from 1 species
UACAAAGAGACUGUUCCUGAUUUGUUUGAUGAUCGUGUGUCAUCAAAUUUGACUAGAGUUCUGAAUUCUUAGUGAUGGACUGUUUGCAGAAUAAAAUAGAAUUUGACUGAUGAUACAUAUAUUUGGCCAGGAUUCAGACGCUGGCCAGGAUGGCGAUGUUGGUGGAUGAGACGCGCUAAUUCCCCAAAGUCAAUCUGCAGACGGGUUGGUGAACGCUUGAAGGUCACGGGAUUAGGUAAAACUGUCGUCUGUCGUGCAGUGGUGUGCAGUGCAGUGCAGAGGUUGGGUGAGAACCGUGCAGUGGUGUAGAGGUUGGGUGAGAAAGUCUGUGCAGUGGUGUAGAGGUUGGGUGAGAACCGUGCAGUGGUGUAGAGGUUGGGUGAGAACGACACGUGUUGCUUCAUUUCUAAGCAGGUACAAUUGCCGCAAGGCUUAGGAGG